rnacentral:rRNA from 1 species
AUUAGACGAAUCAUCUGGAAAGAUGAAUCAAAGAAGGUAAUAAUCCUGUAGUCGAAAAUGUUGUCUCUCUUGAGUGGAUCCUGAGUACGACGGAGCACGUGAAAUUCCGUCGGAAUCUGGGAGGACCAUCUCCUAAGGCUAAAUACUCUCUAGUGACCGAUAGUGAACCAGUACCGUGAGGGAAAGGUGAAAAGCACCCCGGAAGGGGAGUGAAAUAGAACCUGAAACCGUGUGCUUACAAGUAGUCAGAGCCCGUUAAUGGGUGAUGGCGUGCCUUUUGUAGAAUGAACCGGCGAGUUACGAUUUGAUGCAAGGUUAAGCAGUAAAUGUGGAGCCGUAGCGAAAGCGAGUCUGAAUAGGGCGUUUAGUAUUUGGUCGUAGACCCGAAACCAGGUGAUCUACCCUUGGUCAGGUUGAAGUUCAGGUAACACUGAAUGGAGGACCGAACCGACUUACGUUGAAAAGUGAGCGGAUGAACUGAGGGUAGCGGAGAAAUUCCAAUCGAACCUGGAGAUAGCUGGUUCUCUCCGAAAUAGCUUUAGGGCUAGCCUCAAGUGAUGAUUAUUGGAGGUAGAGCACUGUUUGGACGAGGGGCCCCUCUCGGGUUACCGAAUUCAGACAAACUCCGAAUGCCAAUUAAUUUAACUUGGGAGUCAGAACAUGGGUGAUAAGGUCCGUGUUCGAAAGGGAAACAGCCCAGACCACCAGCUAAGGUCCCAAAAUAUAUGUUAAGUGGAAAAGGAUGUGGCGUUGCCCAGACAACUAGGAUGUUGGCUUAGAAGCAGCCAUCAUUUAAAGAGUGCGUAAUAGCUCACUAGUCGAGUGACACUGCGCCGAAAAUGUACCGGGGCUAAACAUAUUACCGAAGCUGUGGAUUGUCCUUUGGACAAUGGUAGGAGAGCGUUCUAAGGGCGUUGAAGCAUGAUCGUAAGGACAUGUGGAGCGCUUAGAAGUGAGAAUGCCGGUGUGAGUAGCGAAAGACGGGUGAGAAUCCCGUCCACCGAUUGACUAAGGUUUCCAGAGGAAGGCUCGUCCGCUCUGGGUUAGUCGGGUCCU